AUUCAACUGAUGUGUCCCAAAUAAGACGAAACGCACUUUCUGAUU
rnacentral:hammerhead_ribozyme from 1 species